GUAGGUGGCAAGCGUUGUCCGGAAUUAUUGGGCGUAAAGCGCGCGCAGGCGGUUCUUUAAGUCUGAUGUGAAAGCCCACGGCUCAACCGUGGAGGGUCAUCGGAAACUGGAGAACUUGAGUACAGAAGAGGAAAGACGGAAUUACCACGUGUAGCGGUGAAAUGCGUAGAGAUGUGGAGGAACACCAGUGGCGAAGGCGGCUUUCUGGUCUGUAACUGACGCUGAGGCGCGAAAGCGUGGGGAGCAAACAGGGAUUAGAUACCCUGGUAGUCCACGCCGUAAGCGAUGAGUGCUAAGUGUUAGGGGGUUUUCCGCCCCCCUUAGUGCUGCAGCUAACGCAUUAAGCACUCCGCCUGGGAGUACGGCCGCAAGGCUG
rnacentral:rRNA from 1 species